rnacentral:rRNA from 1 species
GGGUGCGAUCAUACCACCACUACAGCACCGAAUUCC